CGGACUGGCAACGGCGUUGCUAUGGAGACGGUGCGUCGGGCCCCGCCUCCGAGACGGGAUUGGAGGAGAGCCGGUCAGCUGACCCGGGGGAUUUCCGGAAGCGCGCGGAGCCCCCGCGGUCGCCUGGCAACGCGGACGCCCUCGCGCCUUGCGGAAGCGCGAUUCCCGGGAACCCUCAAAGCUAGAGUCCGAGCCCACAGUGCGACUUGAGGGGCUUUUUCACCUGAGGUAGUAAAUAUCGGAAGUGCUUCGGCCCGAGGAAAGUAGAAAUUCACACCGCCCUAGACUGGAUUCAGUAUUGCGCGAGAGAGCAAGCAGGAAGAGGGGCAGAGGGGGGAGAGGGAAUCUCAAGCUGACUCCUCGAGGAGAGGGGAGCCCCUCCGGGACGCUCCAUCCCAGGACCCUGAGACUGUGACCCGAGCCAAAAUCAAGAGUCGGAUACUCAAUCGACUGAGCCACUCAGACAGAAGCCAGCAUGUGACAGGCACUCAGGAAGUAUCUGUUGAGUGAAUAGAUGCAUUUCAAAACCAGACAGAGGCUGGGGAAAAGAGGACAGUGGAGGAAACUACAAACCCUACCUCAGCCUGGUGAUUAAGAUUCAAACAGCAACAACAACAAAACAAACAAACAAACAAAAAAACAAAAACAAAAACUUGGAGUGUCCUGUAGUGGUUAAGAGCCAGAGCUGCAGGGGCUUGGAUUCCAGUCCUGCUCUGCUACUUAGCUGCUUGGUGACUUUGGGAAAUUUAAUCUUCCUGAGCCUCAAGUUCCUCAUUUGCAGUGCCAUUAUAAAAAUAUGUCAGCCUUUCACCCAAUGAUAUAGAAAGGCCCCUAUAGGAGCAGCAAGUGUUGUGCUAGCUGCUGAAGACACACUGGAGAACCUGAAUGCACAUGUUUCUUCACUCUUCUGGAGUCUACAUCCUGAGGAAGGGAUGCAGACAAUAGCAAUAGAGUCAUCCAAAUGUAUGAUUAUUCACAAACUGUGACAAGUGUGACAGAGUAAAAGCCAGAUAGUGCCAAAGGCGAGGGUGGGGGGGGGAGGUGGGGAAAGCAUCCCCGACAGAAGGACUUCUCAAUUGUAUCAGUCGGCUCAGGCUGCCAUGGUAAAAUACUGUGGCUUAGCGGGCUUAAACAACAGAAAUUUAUUUUCUCACAGUCCUGGAAGGUAGAAAUCCAGGAUCAAGGUGUCACAAGCUUGGUUUCUUCUGGGGCCUCUCUCCUUGGCUUGCAGAUGGCUGCCUUCUCGAGGCCUUUUCUCAGUGCACCUGUUCCCCUGCUGUCCCUCUAGAUAUCCUUAUCUCUUCUUAUAAGGACACCAGUCAGAUCGGAUUAGGGUCCAUCCCAAGGGCCUCAUUAAACGCAAUUACCUCAUGAAAGGCCCUGUCUCCAAAUAUAGUCCUAUUCUGAGGUGCUGGGGGUGAGGGCUUUGGCACAUGAAUUGAGGGCUGGGGAAGCAUGAUCCAUCUCAUAGCAUUAUCAAGACCCAAAGGAUACACAGGAAGGAAAGCCAGGACUUCCAGCAGAGGGAAGAGUAUGUGUAGAAAUUCUGUGGCUGGAAGGAGGGUGCCAAGUUGGAAAACAUGACAGGCCCAUGUGACUUGAGCUCAGAGUGAGGGGUCUGGGUAGGAGACAGAUGGGGGUUUGAGGGAGCAGAAUGUACGGGACCUCAGAGACCACCUAUGUCUGUUGCUGGUGAUGUGAUGAGUUGUCCUAUGGAUGGACUACUCUGACACCGAAUGGUUUGGGGAGGGCUACUCCCAGCUCCAGAGUUGUGUGACUACCUGAUGGAGUGCCUACAGAGUGGCUCGAAGUUAGAGCUCAGUAAAGAAUUAACAAGAGUUAAUGAUGGUGUUUUUAGUAAUGCCCACCUGAUACAGUUGAUGGAAAGAUUAGAUGAAAGACAUCCCAGGAAGGGACUUCAUAAACUGAAAGAAUUCAGUGUCCAGAAGUGGAACCUGGUGUGACCUCCCAGCCACCUUAAACUUGAGUGGUGACCCCACCCUUUGAUGAUUUAAUGCAGCAAAGACUCAUUGCCUCUUCACAUUGGAAGUAACCAGGACGAGCAUUUCAUCCCAAUAGCUAAGGAACAAUGACUGUCCUCUUUGACACCAUGGACAAAGCGUCAUGAUCUGAGGGCAAUAAUGUGCUGGUGAUGGGGAAUGUACAAGGCAACCAACCCAUCCUAAUUUUGAACAGAAUUAACGGGUACUAUCUCUUGUAAGUCCUGGUCUGGCUUUCAGGAGCUACGCAGACCCUGAUCCUUCCUCUUUAUAGCAUCAAGGAUUUGGCAAAACCUGUAAGGUACCCUUCUGAGGCUUCAAGACUUCUGUUCCCAAAUGGAACACACCCCUCCAAAAGUAUUCUUUGCUCAACAGUGUUUUUAUGAUUAUUCUUGUACGUAAAUCUUUGUAUACCUGUCUUCGGAUACAUUUCUAUAAAUGAAGCUGUUGGGACAAAUGGUACAUUCUAUAGCUUUUGCUGUAUAUUUCCAGAUUGCCUUCCAGCAAGGGUGCUUUUGUCUAUCCGCCCACAAGUGGUUUACAAGAGAGCCUAUUUCCCCACACCCUAGCCACCAAAUGUGGGGAAUUUUCAUUCUUUUAAUCACUGCCAAUCUGAUAAAGGAAAAUGAUUAUCUCAUGGUUGCUUCAAUUUGCAUUUCUUUGAUUAUGGGUGAGGUCGGACAUGUUUUCCAACCACAUCCUAUACUUUUGCAAUCGCCUUUUGGAGCUAAAUGCAGGACCUUACAUGUAUUCCAGUUACAUUUUAUCUUGUUGGAUUCCACCAAUCAUUCUUUCCUGUUGAGAUAAUUUGGAUCCUGAUUCUAUAAUUCCAACAUGUUGGCCUUCUCUCCCAGUCUUGUGUUAUUUGCACAGUUGAUAAGCAGUUAUCUUUGGCUUUAUCCAAGUUGUUGAUAGAAUGUUGAAGAGUUUAGAGCCAAGGACAGACCUGUUUGGCAAGCCCCUAGAGAAACCCCUAGGAGGACACCAUCCCAUCUGCUGUUAGGAUUCCACCUCACAGUGCCCAGCAGCCACAGGCGCUGGAUGGGGCCUUCACCUGGGAAACAAGGCCAGGCACAGAUUCCAGUCUUGACAGUAAUUAGCUGGGUGGUCUUAAGCAAGUGGUGUCACCUUAAAUGGAGAUGUGCCACAUGAUUAGCUAAUGGCCCUUCAAGCUCUAGCAGCUUUUCAUCACUAUUUUGUCCAUAAGAAUUUCUUGAGAAACUGACAAACUAUUGUCAAAGUCAUUGCGCUAUGGCAGAGUGCUCACGCAUUCACUAAUCUAGUGAGAGACAUUCUUUAUACUCCAUGUUGACCCUUAUCAUCACCCUUCCUAAAUGCGAGGCAACCAUUCAUUUGAUUCUCCGCUCCAGAAUGUUGCCCAUGAUCAAAACUAAGUUCAUUGGCCUUCAGUUUAUCCAAUUAAUAUAUGUGUGUAUAUUUACAUUUAGGAUCUCUGCAUCAAUUCUCCAUGAUUCCUCAGAGUACCCUGAGACAUCAGAAAUGCUUGAAGCCCCCUGCCAGGCCUUGUUAGAUCUGCCACCUGGCCCAGUUGUCCUGCAUACAGAGAAGGAGCAAGUCCCUGGGAUCGCCUCCUCCCCUCCUGGCGUGGACAGAGGGCCUAGGGUAUUGGGAGGAGGCUUAGCCAAAGCAGGCACAGCAUUACAAGGAAACAGUUUGAAUGGCUUAGUUUUAGGGGACAGCGGGGUCUUUGUGAGGCUGAAAAAUACCAACUGCUCUCACCACUCGGUGAAGAAAGCUCCGUGGGCCGGGGACAGGGCCCUCUGGUUAUUCAGCCUGCGACUUCACGCAGAAAUUGAGCAUCAGCAGAAUCACCUUCAAAUGAAAUGAUGACCCCUUUCUUUGAGUUACUUCAAUAUCAAAAAUCAGGGCACCUGGUGGCUCAGUGGUUGAGCGUCUGCCUUUGGCUCAGGUCGUGAUCCUAGGGUCCCUCUGCCUAUGUCUCUACCUCUGUCUCCGUGUCUCUCAUGAAUAAAUGAAUAAAAUCUUUUUUAAAAAUUAGAUGACUAUUCUAAGGAAGAAAUACUAAACAUGAACCCGGCACAACCAAUUUAAGUGACAAAGUGAACCAGUCAGAACUCUGGCUGCCUGCUUCUUUACUGCCAGGCCUAGAAUGCAGUUGUUGAUUUACACCUUGUAAAUUUAUCACUACACUAUGCACAACUCCAGCAGUUGUGGAUUGUGUGUGUGCACUCAUUCAGACUAGUGAUAAUAGUGAUGAAGAUACCGACCCUCUUCUAGGAGCCAGACGCUGUUCUGAGCACUGUGCAUGAACUAACCCUUGUAUCCUCACAGCACCCCCGGAGGGAAGGUGCUGUCUUCAUAGACGGUGAGAUGGAGGCACUGAAGAGAGCAGAGGUGACCUGCCUAAGGUCUUGUGUGGGGGCAGAGCUGGGGCUGGGUCAGGCCACUGGGCUCCACACUGGGCUCCACACUGGGCUCUAGAUGCCUCUACACAUAUAUGAGGAAAAGAAAGGAACAGCCGUCGAGUAUCAUUUCUCCCUCAGAUUAUGAAACUGCUUUAUGAACGGUGGUGCCCACUACAACAGGGUCACAAACCAAGGCUUUCAUCCCCUCAAUGGGCUGUGUGGAAAGGGAGGAGCAGGGUAGAAGGGAAGUCAAGGGCACGAACAACAGGUAGCCUGGGAGCAUCAACCUGAGGGAUGCCCCAUGCAUGAGCUGUCAGUGCGUGGUGCGACCCCCGACCUAGCGUGCUGGGACCCCAGAACCAAGACCUGUGACCAUACCCAUUUCAGGACCCUUGCUCUGCAGCCCCUGCUGCUCCUCCAGGAUCAGGAUCAGGAGACCCGUCGCGGUAACCGCUGGCACACCCGCCACCCCCCAAGGCUAGGCCAGUUGACCAGCUCCCAGGAUUGUCUUCCUGUUGCUAGACUACGCUGCUUUCCAGUACAUUAUUUGGAAUAUAAAAACUCAAAUAGCAGAGGAUGUGCCACGCCACACAUUCUUACCUCCCAACAGGCCAAUAACUGCUGAUGUAGACGGGAGGACAACACGGAGGAGGUGCUGUCCCAGAUGGAAAGGGGUGAGCUGACCUCAGGAGAGAUCGUUUUAGGAUGAAGACUCAAUGCUCUUUUAUUUAAAGGAUCAGUCCAGGGACGCCUAGGUGGCUCAGUGGUUGAGCGUCUGCCUUCAGCUUAGGUGGUGAUCCUGGAGUCCUGGCAUCGAGUCCCACAUUAGGCUCCCCACAGGGAGCCUGCUUCUCCCUCUGCCUGUGUCUCUGCCUCUCUCUGUGUGUCUCUC